rnacentral:tRNA from 2 species
GCGGGUGUGGUGGAAUGGUAGACACAGGCGACUUAAAAUCGCCAGGGGUAUCCCGUGCGGGUUCGAGCCCCGCCACCCGCA